CGCUCUCUCUCUCUCUCUCGCGAUGUGCCGCCGAAGCGUGGGAGCUCCAAGUUCUUCGCCGCCCCUUCUUCCCCUCUCUCCUCAUCUGCCAGAGCAUCGUCGGCCGGGACGGCACCUUCCACACCGAUUAGGCCGUCGAGUACGGUGCCGAGAUGAUCAUGGCGAUUUUAUGGUGGCCUUUGGGAUUAUGGCUUAAACCCCUGAAGCGAACCACGAUCUUUGAAGGAGGAAGAAAACCCCCUAUCGUGCGUGACUCUAUCUCGUGCACUUUUAGAGUUGUUCUUUGAGAGAACUUAUCCAAACACAGAGUUCUGGGAGGAUCAAAGUCUUACACAGGGGUCACAUGAAUUCAGGACAAAGUUGCUUUCUUAUUGGUUCACUUAUAUUCAAAUAUGACUUUCUUUAAUGUUCUUCUUUAUCUGAUUAACGUAGAUGUUUGUAUGUCCAUUAUUUUGGUUUACCUUGCUUCUCAGUAAAUUUUAUUCCUAAGGUUUCACAGAAUUUGGUUUGCAAUAUUAGUUGCCAUAAGAUUAAAUGUCAUUUGGAGCAUUUUGUUUUGCGUUCUUCAAAGGUGUAAGAAAUGACCACCAGUUAUACAUACAGUACAUUAUUUAGUUAUUAUAG